rnacentral:rRNA from 1 species
UACGUAGGGCACAAGCGUUGUCCGGAAUUAUUGGGCGUAAAGAGCUCGUAGGCGGUUUGUCGCGUCUGCUGUGAAAACUCGAGGCUCAACCUCGGGCUUGCAGUGGGUACGGGCAGACUAGAGUGCGGUAGGGGUGACUGGAAUUCCUGGUGUAGCGGUGGAAUGCGCAGAUAUCAGGAGGAACACCGAUGGCGAAGGCAGGUCACUGGGCCGCGACUGACGCUGAGGAGCGAAAGCAUGGGGAGCGAACAGG